AACACAUGCAAGUCCGAACGGACCGCUUGGGCGCUUUGCGUUUGGGUUGGUUAGUGGCGAACGGGUGAGUAACACGUGAGUAACCUGCCCCCUUCUUCGGGAUAACGUUCGGAAACGGAUGCUAAUACCGGGUAUUUACCUCAUGUCGCAUGGUGUGGGGUGGAAAGGUUUUUUCUGGUGGGGGAUGGGCUCGCGGCCUAUCAGCUUGUUGGUGGGGUGAUGGCCUACCAAGGCUUUGACGGGUAACCGGCCUUGAGAGGGUGACCGGUCACAUUGGGACUGAGAUACGGCCCAGACUCCUACGGAAGGCAGCAGUGGGGAAUUUUGCACAAUGGGCAAAAGCCUGACGCAACAACGCCGCGUGAGGGAAGAAGGCCUUCAGGAUCGUAAAACUCUGUUCGCUCAGAGAAGAAUCAAGGCAUAAUAGUAACUGAUUAUGUUCCAGUUGACGGUAGUCGGUAACCAGAAAGCGCCGGCUAACUACGUGCCAGCAGCCUGCGGUAAUACCUUAGGUGGCACAGCCGUUGUCCGGAUUUAUUGGGCGUAAAGGGCGCAGGCGGCUUGUCGCUUAAGUCUGACGUGAAAACCCACAGCUCAACCGUGGAGCGUGCAGUGGAAACGGGCUGGAACUUGAGUGCAGAAGAGGAGAGUGGAAUUCCAUGGUGUAGCCGGUGAAAUGCGCAGAUAUCAUGGAGGAACACCAGUGGCGAAGGCGACUCUCUGGGCCGUAACUGACGCUGAGGAGCGAAAGCGUGGGGAGCAAACAGGAUUAUGAUACCCUGGGUAGUCCACGCUGUAAACGUUGGGCACUAGGUGUGGGGGCCGCCCUUGGUUUCUGCGCCGUAGCUAACGCUUUAAGUGCCCCGCCUGGGGAGUACGGCCGCAAGGCUAAAACUCAAAGGAAUUGACGGGGGCCCGCACAAGCGGCGGAGCAUGCGGAUUAAUUCGAUGCAACGCGAAGAACCUUACCAAGGCUUGACAUGCACCGCGACACUGCAGAGAUGUGGUGGCCUUCCGGGGUGGUGUGCAGGUGGUUGCAUGGUUGUCGCACUCGUGUCGUGAGAUGUUGGGUUAAGUCCCGCAACAGCGCAACCUUGCCCU
rnacentral:rRNA from 1 species